AGAUAGCAAGCGAAGAAUCGGCCUCCUUCUGAUUCUUCUGCCGUUAGGGUUUCUGGGUUUUCUGAUGCGUUCUUUCUUCUCUGCCUCAUCUUUCUAUCCAUUUUCAUAUGUAGAGUAAACAGACGUAUACAGUAAAUACAAUUCGGCCACUAGGAUUUUGUCGAUGGUCGUUUCCUCCUGAAAGAAGCUGAACGCAUUGAUGGCGAGGUCGUUGGUUUUCGAUCUGUAUGAGAACAGUAAACUAUCAGUGCUUUGGCUGGCACUGCAACUUAUCAGAUUGAGCAACUCGCAUGUUUGCUGUUGUGAUACUAUGCUGGCACGAUGCAGAAGCUAU